rnacentral:snoRNA from 1 species
AAGACUAGAGUCACAUCUUGACAUGGCCCUUGCCCUUGACCUGGUGUGCUAGAGUUCUCAAAGAAGAUCUGCUAGUCUUGAUUCAGUGAUAGUGGCAGUCAGUGCUCCUGCUAGUGCCCAGAUCAGAAACAUUC